AUUGAACGCUGGCGGCAGGCCUAACACAUGCAAGUAGAGCGGAGCGGCGGACGGGGGAGGAAUGCCUAGGAAUAGGCCUGGUAGUGGGGGAAAACGUCCGGAAACGGGCGCUAAUACCGCAUACUAUCAGAUGAGCCUAGGUCGGAUUAGCGAGGUGGUGGGGUAAGGGCCUACCAAGGCGACGAUCCCUAGCUGGUCUUAGAGGAUGAUCAGCCACACUGGAACUUAGACACGGCCCAGACUCCUACGGGAGGCAGCAGUGGGGAAUAUUGCACAAUGGGCGCAAGCCUGAUGCAGCCAUGCCGCGUGUAUGAAGAAGGCCUUCGGGUUGUAAAGUACUUUCAGUCGGGAGGCGUUACCCACAGAAGAAGCACCGGCUAACUCCGUGCCAGCAGCCGCGGUAAUAC
rnacentral:rRNA from 1 species